GACACUGUGGCAUAAUGGUUUGAGUGUUGGACUACAGUUCUAGAUAUCUGGGUUCAGUUCCCAGCUCAGCCA